rnacentral:rRNA from 1 species
GACGAACGCUGGCGGCGUGCUUAACACAUGCAAGUCGAACGGAAAGGCCCUGCUUUUGUGGGGUGCUCGAGUGGCGAACGGGUGAGUAACACGUGAGUAACCUGCCCUUGACUUUGGGAUAACUUCAGGAAACUGGGGCUAAUACCGGAUAGGAGCUCCUGCUGCAUGGUGGGGGUUGGAAAGUUUCGGCGGUUGGGGAUGGACUCGCGGCUUAUCAGCUUGUUGGUGGGGUAGUGGCUUACCAAGGCUUUGACGGGUAGCCGGCCUGAGAGGGUGACCGGCCACAUUGGGACUGAGAUACGGCCCAGCCUCCUACGGGAGGCAGGAGUGGGGAAUAUUGCACAAUGGGCGGAAGCCUGAUGCAGCAAAGCCGCGUGCGGGAUGACGGCCUUCGGGUUGUAAACCGCUUUCGCCUGUGACGAAGCGUGAGUGACGGUAAUGGGUAAAGAAGCACCGGCUAACUACGUG